rnacentral:rRNA from 1 species
CCUACGGGGGACAGCAGUGAGGAAUAUUGGUCAAUGGGCGAGAGCCUGAACCAGCCAAGUCGCGUGAAGGAUGACGGCCCUACGGGUUGUAAACUUCUUUUGUCAGGGAGCAAUUGGGUCCACGCGUGGGCUUAGCGAGAGUACCUGAAGAAAAAGCAUCGGCUAACUCCGUGCCAGCAGCCGCGGUAAUACGGAGGAUCCGAGCGUUAUCCGGAUUUAUUGGGUUUAAAGGGUGCGUAGGCGGCCUUUAAGUCAGCGGUGAAAGUCUGUGGCUCAACCAUAGAAUUGCCGUUGAAACUGGGAGGCUUGAGUAUGUUUGAGGCAGGCGGAAUGCGUGGUGUAGCGGUGAAAUGCAUAGAUAUCACGCAGAACUCCGAUUGCGAAGGCAGCAUACCGGCGCUCAACUGACGCUCAUGCACGAAAGUGUGGGUAUCGAACAGGAUUAGAUACCCGAGUAGUC